rnacentral:lncRNA from 13 species
CCCUCGCUGAGCUCACACCGGGCUCUCAAGAGGUAUGCGCCCUCCUGCCUGCUCACCUCUGCCCCACUGUCCACACUACCUGCAGGGGUCUCUUCUCCUGCUGCCCACCUCUGGCCAGCCCCUUCCUCCGGGGCUGCUCCCUGGUCACUUAUCUGCAUUUCCUCCCACCUCCCCAGAACAGCUGCCCUCCCCACUCAGUCUCCAUCCAAGCCCCAACACCAGUAUUCCCAAUGACCCCAGCCAGCUGCUCUCCACUGCUACCAGUGCCCCCACAGGGAUGGCGAGUCUCUGGAAGAAAGUGGUGGCUCAACACGUCAAUUUCUCACUCCUGAUGAUUGUUCCACUUCCUGGCCCAGCUCUAUGGGAUUAUUUGAAGCCCCAGUCAUUGGACCUGCAGGAUUCCCUGACCGGAGAUUCUCUUCCCAAGCGGGACAUACGUGGGUUCCUGCACCCCAUGGGUUCUCUUCUACAAUACGAUUGCAUGCCACUUAUUUGGAACAUAAAUAUUUCCCCAUCUUCUGGCCUGCCUGAAGUAUUUUGGCUUAAAAAUGAUGGUAGAAUGCAGAAGAUUGUAAUAAAGCAACAAUCUCAUAGAAGAACAUGUUCAGAAGUAUCUGGAGUAAAAUGGAGAUUUGCUUAAAAAUAUUUGGCCGUGGGCUGGGCGGUGGCUCACACCUGUAAUCCCAGCACUUUGAGAGGCCGAAGCGGGUGGAUCAGGAGGUCAGGAGUUUGAGACCAGCCUGGCCAAUAUGAUGAAACCUCAUCUCUUCUUAAAAAAAUACAAAAAUUCGCUGGGCAUGGUGGUGCACACCUGUAGUCCCAGCUACUCAGGAGGUUGAGGCAGAAGAAUCGCUUGAACCCGGGAGGCAGAGGUAACAGUCAGCUGAGAUCGCACCACUGCACUCCAGCCUGGGUGACAGAGCAAGACUCUUGUCUCAAAAAAAAAAGAAGAAAAAAAAUUUGAUAAUGAAAUGGUACUGGCAGUUAUGCCUUUUACCUCAGAAUUAUCAACAAUAAGACUUAGGUCAGCCUGGCUGAUAAACCUUGGAGUCUCUUGGGCCCAUUCUCAUGGCAACUUGGGCCUCUGAAGAAGCCAGAUGGGAUGGAGCUUAUAACGACAUCCUUCUAAGGAGGUAGGUUCUAAUGCACCUAGUUGUAGAAAAAUUGCAAAGGACCUCAUACCAGUCUAAACAACACGGCAGUAGACAGCUGAUAUUUCAUCACCAGGAAGCAUUUCGACCCUAGAGAAGGAGUUAGUGAACUUCUUUUUUCUGUAAAGGACCAGAGAGUAAAUAUUUUAGGCUUUCAGGCCACUUGCUUCCCUUCUAACUUUUCAACCUUGUCAUUGAAAACAGCCGAGGAUGACGAACAGGUUGGGCACAGUUUUGUUGAAGUGACACCUUGUUUACUGAGAUAGGCAGGGAUUCAGGCUGUCAGCUGUGGAUGGCUGACCCUAAAUCUGCAACUGACCAGGGACAGGGACAGCUGAGGCCCCUUUGUGUGCAGCUUCCUCUCUCCGUCUCCACGUUGGCUGUCUGGCUUCAAGCCACGGCUCACGCCUGUAAUCCUAGCACUUUGGGAGGCCAAGGCGGGUGGAUCACAAGGUAGAAGAUCGAGACCAUCCUGGCCAACAGGUGAAA